UCCUGGUUUCCCAGGCAGUCCCAUCAGAGUGCUCUACAAGUAGAUAGCAACUGAUGGCAAGGGUUGCGCUCGUUAGAGGACUUAACCUAACAUCUCACGACACGAGCUGACGACAGCCAUGCAGCACCUGUGCAUCUGUCUAAACCGAAGUCUAAAAAACCAUAUCUCUAUGGCGAUCAGAGCAUGUCAAGUCCAGGUAAGGUUCCUCGCGUAGUGUCGAAUUAAACCACAUGUUCCACCGCUUGUGCGGACCCCCGUCAAUUCCUUUGAGUUUUAAUCUUGCGAUCGUAGUCCCCAGGCGAAUCACUUAACGCGUUAGCUACGACACUAAUCCAGCUUGGCUGAACUAACGUCUAGUGAUUAGCGUUUACAGCGUGGACUAC
rnacentral:misc_RNA from 1 species